rnacentral:rRNA from 1 species
CGUACGAGUUCUCGUUGAUGAUCGGUGCUUGCACUGAGAUUCAACAUGGAACGAGUGGCGGACGGGUGAGUAACACGUGGGUAACCUGCCCUUAAGUGGGGGAUAACAUUUGGAAACAGAUGCUAAUACCGCAUAGAUCCAAGAACCGCAUGGUUCUUGGCUGAAAGAUGGCGUAAGCUAUCGCUUUUGGAUGGACCCGCGGCGUAUUAGCUAGUUGGUGAGGUAAUGGCUCACCAAGGCGAUGAUACGUAGCCGAACUGAGAGGUUGAUCGGCCACAUUGGGACUGAGACACGGCCCAAACUCCUACGGGAGGCAGCAGUAGGGAAUCUUCCACAAUGGACGCAAGUCUGAUGGAGCAACGCCGCGUGAGUGAAGAAGGCUUUCGGGUCGUAAAACUCUGUUGUUGGAGAAGAAUGGUCGGCAGAGUAACUGUUGUCGGCGUGACGGUAUCCAACCAGAAGGCCACGGCUAACUACGUGCCAGCAGCCGCGGUAAUACGUAGGUGGCAAGCGUUAUCCGGAUUUAUUGGGCGUAAAGCGAGCGCAGGCGGUUUUUUAAGUCUGAUGUGAAAGCCCUCGGCUUAACCGAGGAAGCGCAUCGGAAACUGGGAAACUUGAGUGCAGAAGAGGACAGUGGAACUCCAUGUGUAGCGGUGAAAUGCGUAGAUAUAUGGAAGAACACCAGUGGCGAAGGCGGCUGUCUGGUCUGUAACUGACGCUGAGGCUCGAAAGCAUGGGUAGCGAACAGGAUUAGAUACCCUGGUAGUCCAUGCCGUAAACGAUGAAUGCUAGGUGU